UGUCGAAAUGGGUCUAUAGCUCUGCCUGAACUGUCGUCCAAUUGGUUUACAAGUCCGGCUGAAGUGACAGGCCAUCAAAAACUGUACAGUGUGACUGAUUCGGAGACGGCCCUCAACACUCGCCCAGUCGUGUCGAGAGGAUCGGUGUCUUUGCAGAUUACACGGAAUUGAGCACCCGGGCCAGACUGACACUUUCCGGAGCCUGCCCUAGACGGAACUCGAGCCGAGGAAUCAUAGGUCCAGGCGGUGUCGAAAUGGGUCUAUAGCUCUGCCUGAACUGUCGUCCAAUUGGUUUACAAGUCCGGCUGAAGUGACAGGCCAUCAAAAACUGUACAGUGUGACUGAUUCGGAGACGGCCCUCAACACUCGCCCAGUCGUGUCGAGAGGAUCGGUGUCUUUGCAGAUUACACGGAAUUGAGCACCCGGGCCAGACUGACACUUUCCGGAGCCUGCCCUAGACGGAACUCGAGCCGAGGAAUCAUAGGUCCAGGCGGUGUCGAAAUGGGUCUAUAGCUCUGCCUGAACUGUCGUCCAAUUGGUUUACAAGUCCGGCUGAAGUGACAGGCCAUCAAAAACUGUACAGUGUGACUGAUUCGGAGACGGCCCUCAACACUCGCCCAGUCGUGUCGAGAGGAUCGGUGUCUUUGCAGAUUACACGGAAUUGAGCACCCGGGCCAGACUGACACUUUCCGGAGCCUGCCCUAGACGGAACUCGAGCCGAGGAAUCAUAGGUCCAGGCGGUGUCGAAAUGGGUCUAUAGCUCUGCCUGAACUGUCGUCCAAUUGGUUUACAAGUCCGGCUGAAGUGACAGGCCAUCAAAAACUGUACAGUGUGACUGAUUCGGAGACGGCCCUCAACACUCGCCCAGUCGUGUCGAGAGGAUCGGUGUCUUUGCAGAUUACACGGAAUUGAGCACCCGGGCCAGACUGACACUUUCCGGAGCCUGCCCUAGACGGAACUCGAGCCGAGGAAUCAUAGGUCCAGGCGGUGUCGAAAUGGGUCUAUAGCUCUGCCUGAACUGUCGUCCAAUUGGUUUACAAGUCCGGCUGAAGUGACAGGCCAUCAAAAACUGUACAGUGUGACUGAUUCGGAGACGGCCCUCAACACUCGCCCAGUCGUGUCGAGAGGAUCGGUGUCUUUGCAGAUUACACGGAAUUGAGCACCCGGGCCAGACUGACACUUUCCGGAGCCUGCCCUAGACGGAACUCGAGCCGAGGAAUCAUAGGUCCAG